AAUUCUUUAAAAAAACUUAUAUUUAGAAACAUAGAAAGUAUAAAAAUAAUAUCUAUGAUGUCUUUAUUUCAUGGGACAUAAUCUAAGAUGUCUAGAAUGUAGCUUCAAGAAUAAAGCGGUGACACGGGAGGGACACUUUGGCUCCGGGAUCAAAAUGCUCUCUAUAUCUUGGACAUUCAGUUGUACAUGAGAUCUAAGUCAGAUAUAACUUUUUAAAUGAAUAUUGUUGGUUGGAAAAUCUGUUACAUGGGCAGAUAGUAUGCAUAGGUAACUUACCGAAGAAAGAGCAUGCGACGGAUACACCAGUCGAUUGGGUGGAAAGGGGGUGUGUUUGAUGGCCCGCUAACGUU
rnacentral:lncRNA from 1 species